rnacentral:rRNA from 1 species
AUUGAACGCUGGCGGCAUGCUUUACACAUGCAAGUCGAACGGUAACAGGCCGCAAGGUGCUGACGAGUGGCGAACGGGUGAGUAAUGCAUCGGAACGUGCCCAGUCGUGGGGGAUAACGCAGCGAAAGCUGCGCUAAUACCGCAUACGAUCUAUGGAUGAAAGCGGGGGACCGUAAGGCCUCGCGCGAUUGGAGCGGUCGAUGGCAGAUUAGGUAGUUGGUGGGGUAAAGGCUCACCAAGCCAACGAUCUGUAGCUGGUCUGAGAGGACGGCCAGCCACACGUGGACUGAGACACGGCCCAGACUCCUACGGGAGGCAGCAGUGGGGAAUUUUGGACAAUGGGCGCAAGCCUGAUCCAGCAAUGCCGCGUGCAGGAAGAAGGCCUUCGGGUUGUAAACUGCUUUUGUACGGAGCGAAACGGUCCUGGUUAAUACCCGGGGCUAAUGACGGUACCGUAAGAAUAAGCACCGGCUAACUACGUGCCAGCCGCCGCCGUAACAC